GCAGCCGCGGUAAUUCCAGCUCCAAUAGCGUAUAUUAAAGUUGUUGCAGUUAAAACGCUCGUAGUCGGAUUUCGGGGCGGGGCGACCGGUCUGCCGAUGGGUAUGCACUGGUCGGCGCGUCCUUCCUUCCGGAGACCGUGCCUACUCUUAACUGAGCGGGUCCGGGAGACGGAUCGUUUACUUUGAAAAAAUCAGAGUGUUUCAAGCAGGCAGCUCGCUUUGCAUGGAUUAGCAUGGGAUAAUGAAAUAGGACUUUGGUGCUAUUUUGUUGGUUUCGAACACCGAAGUAAUGAUUAAUAGGGACAGUCAGGGGCACUCGUAUUCCGCCGAGAGAGGUGAAAUUCUCAGACCAGCGGAAGACGAACCACUGCGAAAGCAUUUGCCAGGGAUGUUUUCACUGAUCAAGAACGAAAGUUAGGGAUCGAAGACGAUUAGAUACCGU
rnacentral:rRNA from 1 species